ensembl:lncRNA LINC02583 long intergenic non-protein coding RNA 2583
CUCACUCAGCUCACCCAUUAAACCCUGCGGGUCUGUUUCACUUUUUCCUUCCCACACAAACAUUACAGUAACAGUCUGGCCUUCCCAAACCACCACUGGAAACUUCAACUGAACUGAUCAUAUAUCAGUCAACUCUAGGAGACCAGCUCUGAUUCCAAGAAACUGUGACAUUGCCUCCAUUGGAAGUUACAACCUUCACCUGCCAACCUGGACUCAUCCCAUAGGUUGUGACAUCAGAAAGUUGAUAGACGUGAUCGCUAAGAAUCUUGCCGAAUAUUCUAGGACUACAAGUAAAAGAGACCCUAUUUUCUGUGCUGGGAAAAGCAUCUGAGUGGACCUAACACAGGGCAGUGAAAGUGAUGCAGAACAAACUUCAAAGCCUCCAGGAGCACACGUGACCUCAGGAAAUGAACAGAAACAACCUAGCUCUCCAAAGAGGAGUAUUUCAUUCAACUCCGAACUGCUCACACAUUAUGCAACUGUGAACAAGGCUCAUUUAAAAAUCCAUGAAGCUUCUAAUGUUUUCACCACAAAAUAUAUUAAGUAUUGAGGUGCUGGAUAUGUUGACUAGUUUGAUUUAAUUAUUCCACAUUAUAUGCAUAAAUAGUAACAUCACCUUGUUCCCCAUAAAAUUAUACAAUUAUAAAUUGUCAAUUUGCAAUUAAAACAAUAAAAUCC